CCUACGGGUGGCAGCAGUGAGGAAUAUUGGUCAAUGGGCUUACGCCUGAACCAGCCAAGUCGCGUGAGGGAAGACUGCCCUAUGGGUUGUAAACCUCUUUUGUCAGGGAGCAAUUGGCGCUACGUGUAGCGUUAUCGAGAGUACCUGAAGAAAAAGCAUCGGCAAACUCCGUGCCAGCAGCCGCGGUAAUACGGAGGAUGCGAGCGUUGUCGGGAUUUAUCGGGUGUAAUGGGUGCGUAGGCGGAAUGCCAAGUCAGCGGUAAAAUCGCGGGGCUCAACCUCGCUCCGCCGUUGAAACUGGCGGUCUUGAGUGGGCGAGAGGUAGGCGGAAUGCGUGGUGUAGCGGUGAAAUGCAUAGAUAUCACGCAGAACUCCGGUUGCGAAGGCGGCAUACCGGCGCCCAACUGACGCUGAAGCACGAAAGCGUGGGUAGCGAACGGGAUUAGAUACCCGGGUAGUC
rnacentral:rRNA from 1 species